GACGAACGCUGGCGGCGUGCUUAACACAUGCAAGUCGUACGGUAAGGCCCUUUCGGGGGUACACGAGUGGCGAACGGGUGAGUAACACGUGAGUAACCUGCCCACAACUUUGGGAUAACGCUAGGAAACUGGUGCUAAUACUGGAUAUGUGCUCCUGCUGCAUGGUGGGGGUUGGAAAGCUCCGGCGGUUGUGGAUGGACUCGCGGCCUAUCAGCUUGUUGGUGGGGUAGUGGGCUACCAAGGCGGCGACGGGUAGCCGGCCUGUGGGGGUGACCGGCCACAUUGGGACUGACGUAAGGCCCAAGCUCCUACGGGUGGCAGCAGUGGGGAAUAUUGCACAAUGGGCGCAAGCCUGGUGCAGCAACGCCGCGUGCGGGAUGACGGCCUUCGGGUUGUAAACCGCUUUCAGCAGGGACGAAGCUUUUUGUGACGGUACCUGCAGAAGAAGCACCGGCUAACUACGUG
rnacentral:rRNA from 1 species